GGGGUAGCAAUACUCGCUGGCGACCGGCAAACGGGUGCGGAACACGUACACAACCUUCCUUAAAGUGGGGAAUAGCCCAGGGAAACUUGGAUUAAUACCCCGUAAUAUUAUUAGAUGGCAUCAUUUGAUAAUUAUAGCUCCGGCGCUUAAAGAUGGGUGUGCGGCUGAUUAGGUAGUUGGCGGGGUAACGGCCCACCAAGCCUACGAUCAGUAACUGGUGUGAGAGCACGACCAGUCACACGGGCACUGAGACACGGGCCCGACUCCUACGGGAGGCAGCAGUAAGGAAUAUUGGUCAAUGGACGCAAGUCUGAACCAGCCAUGCCGCGUGGAGGAUGAAGGUCCUCUGGAUUGUAAACUUCUUUUAUCUGGGAAGAAACCCAAGGUUUCUACUUUGGUUGACGGUACCAGAUGAAUAAGCAUCGGCUAACUCCGUGCCAGCAGCCGCGGUAAUACGGAGGGUGCAAGCGUUAUCCGGAUUCACUGGGUUUAAAGGGUGCGUAGGUGGGCUAGUAAGUCAGUGGUGAAAUCUCCGGGCUUAACCCGGAAACUGCCAUUGAUACUAUUAGUCUUGAAUGUCGUGGAGGUAAGCGGAAUAUGUCAUGUAGCGGUGAAAUGCUUAGAUAUGACAUAGAACACCGAUAGCGUAGGCAGCUUACUACACGAAUAUUGACACUGAGGCACGAAAGCGUGGGGAUCAAACAGGAUUAGAUACCCUGGUAGUCCACGCCCUAAACGAUGGAUACUCGACAUCAGCGAUACACUGUUGGUGUCUGAGCGAAAGCAUUAAGUAUCCCACCUGGGAAGUACGACCGCAAGGUUGAAACUC
rnacentral:rRNA from 1 species